UUCGGACUGCAGCCUGCAACCCGGCUGCACGAAGCCGGAAUCGCUAGUAAUCGCAGAUCAGCAUGCUGCGGUGAAUACGUUCCCGGGCCUUGUACACACCGCCCGUCACACCAUGAGAGCCGGGAACACCCGAAGUCCGUAGUCUAACCGUAAGGAGGACGCGGCCGAAGGUGGGUUUGGUAAUUGGGGUGAAGUCGUAACAAGGUAAC
rnacentral:rRNA from 1 species